CGCAAUGGGCGAAAGCCUGACGGAGCAAUACCGCGUGAGGGAGGAAGGCUCUUGGGUCGUAAACCUCUUUUCUCAGGGAAGAAAAAAAUGACGGUACCUGAGGAAUAAGCAUCGGCUAACUCCGUGCCAGCAGCCGCGGUAAUACGGAGGAUGCAAGCGUUAUCCGGAAUGAUUGGGCGUAAAGCGUCCGCAGGUGGCUAUGUAAGUCUGCUGUUAAGGAGUCUAGCUCAACUAGAUAAGAGCAGUGGAAACUACAAGGCUAGAGUACGUUCGGGGCAGAGGGAAUUCCUGGUGUAGCGGUGAAAUGCGUAGAGAUCAGGAAGAACACCGGUGGCGAAGGCGCUCUGCUAGGCCGUAACUGACACUGAGGGACGAAAGCUA
rnacentral:rRNA from 1 species